UACGUAGGGUGCGAGCGUUGUCCGGAAUUAUUGGGCGUAAAGAGCUCGUAGGCGGUUUGUCGCGUCGACUGUGAAAACCCGAGGCUUAACCUCGGGCCUGCAGUCGAUACGGGCAGACUAGAGUUCGGUAGGGGAGACUGGAAUUCCUGGUGUAGCGGUGAAAUGCGCAGAUAUCAGGAGGAACACCGGUGGCGAAGGCGGCAUCCUGGACCGGUAUUGACGCUGAGACGCGAAAGCGUGGGGGAGCGAACAGG
rnacentral:rRNA from 1 species